rnacentral:rRNA from 1 species
CCUACGGGUGGCUGCAGUGGGGAAUAUUGGACAAUGGGGGCAACCCUGAUCCAGCCAUGCCGCGUGUGUGAAGAAGGCCCUCGGGUUGUAAAGCACUUUCAGUGAGGAAGAACGCCUGGUGGUUAAUACCCAUCAGGAAAGACAUCACUCACAGAAGAAGCACCGGCUAACUCCGUGCCAGCAGCCGCGGUAAUACGGAGGGUGCGAGUGUUAAUCGGAAUUACUGGGCGUAAAGCGCGCGUAGGUGGCUUGAUAAGCCGGUUGUGAAAGCCCCGGGCUCAACCUGGGAACGGCAUCCGGAACUGUCAAGCUAGAGUGCAGGAGAGGAAGGUAGAAUUCCCGGUGUAGCGGUGAAAUGCGUAGAGAUCGGGAGGAAUACCAGUGGCGAAGGCGGCCUUCUGGACUGACACUGACACUGAGGUGCGAAAGCGUGGGUAGCAAACAGGAUUAGAUACCCUAGUAGUC